rnacentral:lncRNA from 1 species
AUUUCCUGUUGUGCUUGUGCGUUUGUUUUGCACCGCAUGUUGUUUCCCCUGUGUUUGGGACACUUUAUUUUGUGUGCGCAUUAUUUCACUGUUUGGGGUGGCUUGUGUGUGCUCGCCUGUUUGAACCAUUAAAUAGCCACUUCCCUGUGCUCGCUGCUUCCUGCGUUUGAUUCCUCACUCACGACGCCCGAGCCUUACACACCCAAGGAUGAACCAGACUUGUGGAGGUCUACAAUUUUCUUUCUGAGGUCUUGGCUGUUUUCUUUUGAUUUUCCCAUGAUGUCAAGCAAAGACACACUGAGUUUGAAGUGUCGAUCCUUACAGUUUGAUUAAUUCACUUCAUCUCCCCCCACUGUCUGAGCUUUGCUGAAUGGAGAGAGGGAUAGUGGAUAUAUCUAAAGUCAGAUAAAGAAAUAGUGGAGACCUUUAAAGCAAGAACAACAGGAGGAGCAGCAGGAGGAGCGGAGACCAAUACUAUUCAGAUCUUGUUUGCAGACAUUCUGGUUAAACUGAUCCUGUGGGUGGAAGGCUUCUUGGCUGCCAUCUUCUUCGGCACACUGGUGGCCAUCUUGGCUUUGUGGGUUGGCAUCUCCGUGCCCCUUACCUUCGUGGGCGCCUAGCCUACUUCGGCCUCGAGGCCUGUGAUUGAGCUGCCAGUGCGAACCAACUAUAUCACUCGGCAGAUCUAUGAAAAUUGAUUAAUCACCAAGCCCGUGCCUGGAAUCGGCUUGGGGGGGCAUCCUGACCUUCGGCUGCAUCUGCAUCCAGCACUUCUUCAUCCUCAACAGCAUCUGAUAAGAACAAGGGUCAAGUCUGCUACUCAACCAUGAGCCUGAAUUUGCCUAGUGGUGCUCGUAUAAUGAUUCCUAAAGAAACAAACAAGUAAUUGAUUGUUAAUGUAUAAUUAGCAUUUACAAUUAACUGAUAAGUAAAUACCUAAUCCUUUCUUUGAACUAAGGUCAACUCAGCCUCUAUGCAAGGAGACUGAAUUUGAUGGAAUACUUUUGAAAGGCACUGUAUAUGUACAUAUAUACCUCAAUUACCUCGUACCCCUACACAUCGACUCGGUACUUACCCUGUGUAUAUAGCCAAGUUAGUUUUACUCAUUGUGUAUUUAUUACUUGUGUUAUAAAUGUCUUUUUCUCUAUUUUUCUCUCUGCAUUGUUGGGAAGGGCCAGUAAAUAAGCAUUUCACUGUUGUUUACAACGCAAGUGACAAAUAAAAUUUGAUUUGAUUUGAUUUCCUGACUCUCUAUACCACAG